ensembl:snoRNA
AUCCUUUUGUAGUUCAUAAGCGUGAUGACUGGGUGUUCACAGUCUUGUGUGACAUGUGCCUCCCUCAAACCUUGUUCCGACCUUGGCACAUUACCCAUCUGAUG